rnacentral:lncRNA from 1 species
AAGAAGUACCACAAAUGAUAUUCAAGGAAAGCACGAAUGGAAAUCUAACCUCUCUUCAAUAAUAAGUAUGAAAGCUUGUUCAUUUAAGAUCUUUUGCCCAAUAUAUUAAGUAUUUUAUCCACAUGAGAGCAAUUUAAUUAAUUUUCAGAGUAUAAGAUCAAAACUUAUAUACUUGAAAAACAUAUCAUCAUGUUGGAUCAUUAAUUCUUAAUGACUUCAAAGUUCUUUUAUGAUAAUAAGAGCAUUGGGGCACAAAUACCAAAAUAUG